AUUCAUGUUGCUGCAGUUAAAAAGCUCGUAGUUGGAUAUUGGUUAUUACAAUUAUAGAAGAUGUAUUAUGUUUAUAGUACAUGUGAUAUGAAGUACGUAAUAAUUUGUAAAUAAAGUUUGGAAAUUGCUAAUAUACCUGAUUGUAUAGUAUCAAUUUUUAUGUAAAGAAACUUGUGAUUACUGUGAAAAAAUUAGAGUGUUUAAGGCAAACGAGAUUGUUGUACUGGAUACAUUAGCAUGGAAUAAUAGUAGAUGAUGUUCUACAUUGUGUUGUUGAUUUGAGUGUGGAGAUAAUAGUUAAGAGGAACAGUUGUGGGUGGAAGUAUUUUGUAGUAAGAGGUGAAAUUCUUUGAUCUACAAAAGACUGUCUGUUGCGAAAGCGUUUACCAAGGAUGUUUUCAUUAAUGUGGAGCAAAAGUCAAGGGAGCAAAGAGGAUUAGAUACCCUCGUAGUCUUGACCAUAAACGAUGCCGACUAGUUUUAUUCUGAGAUUUAUACUAUGUUAAUCAGCAAUGAUUAGGAUAUUAAUGAAGUGGGAUGGGACUGUGAAGAAAUUUCUAAGUGUUUGGGUUCCUGGGGGUGUAUGGUCGCAAGGCUGAAACUUAAAGGGAUUGACGGAAGGGCACCACAAGUGGUGGAGCCUGCGGCUUAAUUUGACCCAACACGGGGAAACUUACCAGGUCCAGAUAUGCGGCGGAUUGACAGAUUGAAGCUCUUUCUUGAUUGUAUAAGUGGUGGUGCAUGGCCGUUCUUAGUUGGUGUUGUGAAAUGUCUGGUUGAUUCCGAUAACGAGCGAGAUUCUUGCAUUUAGUUAGGCAAUGUUAUACUAUGUAUAGUAUUGGUGUAAACUUCUUAAAUGGACAAUGUAUGUUUGUAGUACAUGGAAGUGAAGAGCAAAAACAGGUCUGUGAUGCCCUUCGAUAUCCUGGGCCGCACGCGCGCUACAAUGGAUAUAAUAAUAUGUUCUUAUAUUCUGCAAUUAAUACCUUUUUUGGUUUUUAAACUGCAAAUAACCUAGCCUGAAGAGUCUGGGUAAUCAUGAAACUAUAUCCGUGCUUGGGAUAGACGCUUGUAAUUAUUUGUCUUGAACGAGGAAUCUCUAGUAAACGCAAAUCAUCAGUUUGCAUUGAAUGCGUCCCUGCCCUUUGUACACACCGCCCGUCGCACCUACCGAUGUGCGAAAGUGUGAAGUUCUCGGAAGAGGCGUCCCUUACAACUUGUUUGUAAAGGACGUCGCCUG
rnacentral:rRNA from 1 species